CGGACGGGUGAGUAACACGUGGAUAACCUACCUAUAAGACUGGGAUAACUUCGGGAAACCGGAGCUAAUACCGGAUAAUAUUUUGAACCGCAUGGUUCAAAAGUGAAAGACGGUCUUGCUGUCACUUAUAGAUGGAUCCGCGCUGCAUUAGCUAGUUGGUAAGGUAACGGCUUACCAAGGCAACGAUGCAUAGCCGACCUGAGAGGGUGAUCGGCCACACUGGAACUGAGACACGGUCCAGACUCCUACGGGAGGCAGCAGUAGGGAAUCUUCCGCAAUGGGCGAAAGCCUGACGGAGCAACGCCGCGUGAGUGAUGAAGGUCUUCGGAUCGUAAAACUCUGUUAUUAGGGAAGAACAUAUGUGUAAGUAACUGUGCACAUCUUGACGGUACCUAAUCAGAAAGCCACGGCUAACUACGUGCCAGCAGCCGCGGUAAUACGUAGGUGGCAAGCGUUAUCCGGAAUUAUUGGGCGUAAAGCGCGCGUAGGCGGUUUUUUAAGUCUGAUGUGAAAGCCCACGGCUCAACCGUGGAGGGUCAUUGGAAACUGGAAAACUUGAGUGCAGAAGAGGAAAGUGGAAUUCCAUGUGUAGCGGUGAAAUGCGCAGAGAUAUGGAGGAACACCAGUGGCGAAGGCGACUUUCUGGUCUGUAACUGACGCUGAUGUGCGAAAGCGUGGGGAUCAAACAGGAUUAGAUACCCUGGUAGUCCACGCCGUAAACGA
rnacentral:rRNA from 1 species